rnacentral:lncRNA from 1 species
GGGCCAGCAGCGAGGCGGAUCGUGACGUUUGCAGCCAUGGUGAAGGCCUACCCCACGGUGAACGAGGACUACCUCAAGGCGGUCGACAAGGCCAAGCGCAAGCUCCGCGGCCUCAUCACCGAGAAGAAUUGCGCCCCGCUCAUGCUCUGCCUCGCGUAAGGCUGCUCCCCCUUCUUAUUCUUCGCCCGAUCCCGAUCCUAUUCGGAAAUCCUGAAACUACUACCACUCCAACUCCUUCCUUUCCCCUCGCAGAUGGCACUCCGCGGGCACCUUCGAUGUGGCCACCAAAACCGGGGGCCCCUUCGGCACCAUGAAGAACCCCGCCGAGCAGGCGCACGGAGCCAACGCCGGACUAGAAAUUGCCGUCAGGCUGCUAUAGCCCAUCAAGGAGCAGUUCCCCAUCCUAAGUUAGUACUGUAGACUGCCCCCGCCUUCGCUCGCCCGCAAACCGCCGCGCUUCCAAACACCUCCGCAAACCACGCCGCCGCAAAUCCGCCCGCCUCCGCCAACGCCGCCGCAAUCCCCGUCGGAAACCGCCCGCCUGCACACACCACGCCGCGAGCUCGCCGCAAUCCGCUCGCCCGCAAACACCGCCGCAGUCUAUUGGCCGCGACCCCGCCGCAAUUCCGAGCAAGCCGUAGAAACGCCCGCCUCACCCCCGCGACGUAGCAACCACCACCCCCCGUCCGUUGCCGCCACGCGCAACCCCCUCCGUUCGGACGGACCACCGGGCCAGCAGCGAGGCGGAUCGUGACGUCUGCAGCCAUGGUGAAGGCUUACCCCACGGUGAACGAGGACUACCUCAAGGCGGUCGACAAGGCCAAGCGCAAGCUCCGCGGCCUCAUCGCCGAGAAGAAUUGCGCCCCGCUCAUGCUCUGCCUCGCGUAAGGCUGCUCCCCCUUCUUAUUCUUCGCCCGAUCCCGAUCCUAUUCGGAAAUCCCGAAACUACUACCACUCCAACUCCUUCCUUUCCC